GUAGUAAUCUUACAUCUUGAAGUAGGUUUCUGUGACAUAUUAACUUAAUCUCCUUUGUUAAAUAGAAAACAUGCUUUAUUGCAAUGCAAGAUUUAGUUGAUUUGCUUAUAUGCUGGCUGUUUCUUUUUACAUAUGUUACCAAUAUCAUGCAUUUGAUUCAUUUAUAUUACUUUUCAAUGAGUAGGCAACUAGGUGAUAUCUGUUUGGUUCAGUCGGGUUUUUUAGAUUUGUUCAACUUUCCAUUAUAAUUCGAUUCGGUUCUCGGUUUUUGCAUAUUAACUCUUUUUUUUAAAUAUUUUAGACUUAUUUUUAUAAAAUUAUCUUGUAUACAAGCUGGGGGGAAACCUAUAAAGUGGUAUGAAGAAGGAAAGUCUGGCAAAUAUUUCUACACAAUGUUUGCUUUCAGCCUCACUAGAUUUUCCUUGCGAUCUGUAAAUUCCAAAGUAAUUUCGCAGUCUUUUAAGAACUUUCUUCCUACUUCUACUUGUGUUCCUAGUUGGAAUGUUAUGCUAAGGUCAGUCGAUUAAUUGAGCUGACCUGAGCUUGACUUGAAAUUCAAAGCUUCGAAACUUGAUUUGAGUUUAAUCAAGUUUCACUUCUAAAAUUAGAUCUCAAUUCGAGAUAGAAAUUUGAACUUGAGUUUGUUCAAUUAGGCUCUUUUACUUAAUGCCCUCAAUUUUCAUGCUCAACUUCAAAUUUUAUUAUUCAUUCCUGAGCUUAAGCUCCAAUUUGAAAUGAGAUUUUUCAGUAUAGUUAAAAGGUAAAAAGACCUCAAUCAAACUCGUGUGAUACUCUAAUCAAGCAUUAAGGUACUCGAAUUUGAUCUGCUUAAUAGCUCAAACUCGACUCAACACCACACAAGUCUAAUUUGAGAAUUUCUGAGAAGGAUCCACAAAUAAUAACUGAAUUAUUGCCAAGUAUGAAAUAAUGGUGAUACUUAUCAACUCUAGUGAUUGCAUAUCUGGAUAAGAAAUUGGAGGCCUAGGGGCAUAUGAUGCAGACAUUUAUUGACUGCCGUUGUGCAUUUUUGGCUUUUACUGCCUGCAUAUAUUUGGUUUUAGUGUUCCUGUCUCCAUGUAUUUGCUUGCUGUUAAUGGUUUUUAUUUUAAACUUAAGUUGUGUCUGCCAAUAUACUCUUAAAUCAUGAUCCUUCUAUUUCUUUAGGUUGCUGAGAAGACUGCUCUUCUGCGGCCUAUAGAACUUAAACUUAUUCCUAUGGCCCUGGAAGGCAGUGCAUUUAGAAGCAAGUUUCUUGAUACAGAUGAACUUAUGAGCUACUGUAGCUGAUUUGCGACUUUCAGCAGCAUGAUCCCAAAAUGGCUGCGGAAAACCAAAAUUGUCAAGAAAAUUAGCCAAAUACUGGUGAAUCACCUUGGACUAAAUUUGACCAAAGAUGAUCUGUAAAACGUGGUUGAUUUAAUGGAGCCAUAUAGUCAGAUAAGCAAUGGAAUAGAAUAUCUAAAAUCCUCCCCUUGAUGUCAGUAACUAACUUGUUUGUCAUUUUAAAUAUGCAAGUCAAUUGCUAUUAAUAAUUUUUUGUUGGAUUUUUUUUGGACUGAAAAAUAAUUUCUGGGGAUAGUCUAGAAUCUUAAAUUUUAUAGAAAGUCAAUAAAGUGCUUGCCUAACGAAAUGUGGUGAUUAAUAUACUUGCAAGGUCAUACAUGCUGUUAAUUUUUUAAGAGCUGAUAAAUGAGUAUGACAUAGUGCUCAUAAAUGUUCUAAGGAUGUCUUUAGAUGAAUGGAAUUUUUUGAUAGUUUGAGGUUAUAAAUCUUUGUAUUGAUUUUUCUCAACAAUCUAAAGCCUGUCAUACUUAGCAAAUUUUUCUAUGAGAAUGGGUGUUUAAGAACUGUGAAUUGUCUUGAAAUAUAUGCGGUUGAGAUGGUUGAUAUAUUAUCAAUCAUGUAAUAUA